rnacentral:rRNA from 1 species
GAUGAACGCUAGCUACAGGCUUAACACAUGCAAGUCGAGGGGUAACGAGAGGAAAGCUUGCUUUCCUUGUCGACGACCGGCGCACGGGUGAGUAACGCGUAUCCAACCUGCCCCCAACUAAGGAAUAACCUUGCGAAAGUAAGACUAAUACCGUAUAAUUUCCUCAGAUGUCAUCUGACGAGGAAUAAAGAUUUAUCGGUUGUGGAUGGGGAUGCGUCUGAUUAGCUUGUUGGCGGGGUAACGGCCCACCAAGGCAACGAUCAGUAGGGGUUCUGAGGGGAAGGUCCCCCACAUUGGAACUGAGACACGGUCCAAACUCCUACGGGAGGCAGCAGUGAGGAAUAUUGGUCAAUGGGCGAAAGCCUGAACCAGCCAAGUAGCGUGCAGGAUGACGGCCCUAUGGGUUGUAAACUGCUUUUAUACAGGAAUAAAGUUAGCCACGUGUGGUUAUUUGUAGGUACUGUAUGAAUAAGGACCGGCUAAUUCCGUGCCAGCCGCCGCGGUAA